UUGACGGGACCCGCACAAGCGGUGGAUGAUGUGGUUUAAUUCGAUGCAACGCGAAAAACCUUACCCACCUUUGACAUGGCAGGAAGUUACCAGAGAUGGUUUCGUGCUCGAAAGAGAACCUGCACACAGGUGCUGCAUGGCUGUCGUCAGCUCGUGUCGUGAGAUGUUGGGUUAAGUCCCGCAACGAGCGCAACCCUUGCCAUCAGUUGCUACGAAAGGGCACUCUGAUGGGACUGCCGGUGACAAACCGGAGGAAGGUGGGGAUGACGUCAAGUCCUCAUGGCCCUUAUAGGUGGGGCUACACACGUCAUACAAUGGCCGGUACAAAGGGCAGCCAACCCGCGAGGGGGAGCCAAUCCCAUAAAGCCGGUCGUAGUCCGGAUCGCAGUCUGCAACUCGACUGCGUGAAGUCGGAAUCGCUAGUAAUCGUGGAUCAGCAUGUCACGGUGAAUACGUUCCCGGGUCUU
rnacentral:rRNA from 1 species